CACGUAGGGGGCAAGCGUUGUCCGGAAUCAUUGGGCGUAAAGAGCGCGUAGGCGGCCCUGUAAGUCCGCUGUGAAAGUCAAGGGCUCAACCCUUGGAUGCCGGUGGAUACUGCAGGGCUAGAGUCCGGAAGAGGCGAGUGGAAUUCCUGGUGUAGCGGUGAAAUGCGCAGAUAUCAGGAGGAACACCGAUGGCGAAGGCAGCUCGCUGGGACGGUACUGACGCUGAGACGCGAAAGCGUGGGGAGCGAACAGG
rnacentral:rRNA from 1 species